rnacentral:rRNA from 1 species
UACGGGGGGGGUAAGGCGUUGUUCGGAAUUACUGGGCGUAAAGGGCUCGUAGGCGGCCAACUAAGUCAGACGUGAAAUCCCUCAGCUUAACUGGGGAACUGCGUCUGAUACUGGAUGGCUUGGAUUCGGGAGAGGAAUGCGGAAUUCCAGGUGUAGCGGUGAAAUUCGUAGAUAUUCGCAAGAACACCAGUGGCGAAGGCGGACUCACUGGCCCAUUACUGACGCUGAGGCACGAAAGCGUGGGGAGCAAACAGGG